rnacentral:rRNA from 1 species
UUAUAUACUAAAUUAACCUGCGCAGCCUAACACAUGCAAGUCGAGCGGUAACAGAAAGUAGCUUGCUACUUUGCUGACGAGCGGCGGACGGGUGAGUAAAUGCUUGGGAACAUGCCUUGAGGUGGGGGACAACAGUUGGAAACGACUGCUAAUACCGCAUAAUCUCUACGGACCAAAGGGGGCUUCGGCUCUCGCCUUUAGAUUGGCCCAAGUGGGAUUAGCUAGUUGGUGAGGUAAUGGCUCACCAAGGCAACGAUCCCUAGCUGGUUUGAGAGGAUGAUCAGCCACACUGGAACUGAGACACGGUCCAGACUCCUACGGGAGGCAGCAGUGGGGAAUAUUGCACAAUGGGCGAAAGCCUGAUGCAGCCAUGCCGCGUGUGUGAAGAAGGCCUUCGGGUUGUAAAGCACUUUCAGUCAGGAGGAAAGGGUGUGAGUUAAUACCUCAYAUCUGUGACGUUACUGACAGAAGAAGCACCGGCUAACUCCGUGCCAGCAGCCGCGGUAAUACGGAGGGUGCGAGCGUUAAUCGGAAUUACUGGGCGUAAAGCGUACGCAGGCGGUUUGUUAAGCGAGAUGUGAAAGCCCCGGGCUCAACCUGGGAACUGCAUUUCGAACUGGCAAACUAGAGUGUGAUAGAGGGUGGUAGAAUUUCAGGUGUAGCGGUGAAAUGCGUAGAGAUCUGAAGGAAUACCGAUGGCGAAGGCAGCCACCUGGGUCAACACUGACGCUCAUGUACGAAAGCGUGGGGAGCAAACGGGAUUAGAUACCCCGGUAGUCCACGCCGUAAACGAUGUCUACUAGAAGCUCGGAACCUCGGUUCUGUUUUUCAAAGCUAACG